ACCUGCAGUAGGGAUAGGGUAGUUGGUAGAGCCCAAGAAUCUCAGGGUUGUGGGUUCAAGCCCCACUCUGGGCA